rnacentral:pre_miRNA from 1 species
UUCAUACUCCCUCUGUCCCAAAAUUCUUGUCUUAGAUUAGUCUAGAUACGGAUGUAUCUAAUACUAAAAUGUGACUUGAUACAACCGUAUUUAGACAAAUCUAAGACAAGAAUUUUGGGAUGGAGGGAGUAUAUC